rnacentral:rRNA from 1 species
UACGGAGGGUGCAAGCGUUGUCCGGAUUUAUUGGGUUUAAAGGGUGCGUAGGCGGCUCCUUAAGUCAGCGGUGAAAGCCCGGGGCUCAACCCCGGAACCGCCGUUGAUACUGGGGGGCUUGAGUAUGGACGAGGUUGGCGGAAUUGAGGGUGUAGCGGUGAAAUGCAUAGAUAGCAUCCAGAACCCCGAUUGCGAAGGCAGCUGCCUAGACUGUAACUGACGCUGAGGCACGAAAGCGUGGGGAGCGAACAGG